GGGAAUGUGGCUUAGUGGUAGAGUGCUUGCCUAGCAUGCAUGUAGCCCUGGGCGGGGAGGGGGGGGCAUUCCUC
rnacentral:tRNA from 1 species